rnacentral:rRNA from 1 species
UACGUAGGGUGCGAGCGUUAAUCGGAAUUACUGGGCGUAAAGCGUGCGCAGGCGGUUUUGUAAGCCAGAUGUGAAAGCCCUGGGCUCAACCUGGGAAUGGCGAUGGAUACUGGGAGGCUAGAGUGUGAUAGAGGAUGGUGGAAUUCCCGGUGUAGCGGUGAAAUGCGUAGAGAUCGGGAGGAACACCAGUGGCGAAGGCGGCCAUCUGGAUCAACACUGACGCUGAGGCACGAAAGCGUGGGGAGCAAACAGGG